rnacentral:tRNA from 1 species
CGGGGAGUAGCGCAGUUGGCUAGCGUACUUGUCUGGGGGGCAAGAGGUCGUGAGUUCGAGUCUCAUCUCUCCGA